rnacentral:rRNA from 1 species
GACGAACGCUGGCGGCGUGCCUGACACAUGCAAGUCGUACGGUCCGUGAUUGAUCAAGCUUGCUUGAUUGGUCGUGGAUAGUGGCGGACGGGUGAGUAACGCGUGAACACCUACCCAUUGGAGGGGUACAACCCGUCGAAAGGCGGGCUAAUACCGCGUAAGCCGCGAGGUGAAAGGCUGCCUUUUGGUGGCUGCCGAUGGAUGGGUUCGCGUCCUAUCAGCUUGUUGGUGGGGUAAUGGCCUACCAAGGCGAAGACGGGUAGCCGGUCUGAGAGGAUGGCCGGCCACACUGGGACUGAGACACGGCCCAGACUCCUACGGGGGGCAGCAGUGGGGGAUCUUGCACAAUGGGCGAAAGCCUGAUGCAGCGACGCCGCGUGAGCGAAGAAGGCCUUCGGGUUGUAAGCUCUGUCUGGAGGGACGAACAAAAUAGACGGUACCUCCGGAGGAAGGCCACGGCUAACUACGUG